AAAAGUAGUGAAGCGUGUGAGCCAUGUGCCGAGAAAAGCUGCUAUUGUGUAAUGCGUGCCCGUACCGUAAACCGACACAGGUGGAUGAGGAGAGAAUCCUAAGGCCGGCGGAAGAAGCAUUGUUAAGGAAUUCGGCAAAAUGACCCCGUAACUUCGGGAGAAGGGGUGCCUGCGAGAGCAGGCCGCAGAGAAUAGGCUCAAGCAACUGUUUAGCAAAAACACAGGUCUAUGCGAAACCGAAAGGUGAAGUAUAUGGGCUGACGCCUGCCCGGUGCUGGAAGGUUAAGAGGAGAGGUUAGCUUCGGCGAAGCUUUGAAUUUAAGCCCCAGUAAACGGCGGCCGUAACAAUAACGGUCCUAAGGUAGCGAAAUUCCUUGUCGGGUAAGUUCCGACCCGCACGAAAGGCGUAAUGAUUUGAGCACUGUCUCGACAAUGCAUUCGGUGAAAUUGAAGUACCAGUGAAGAUGCUGGUUACCCGCGCCAGGACGGAAAGACCCCAUGGAGCUUUACUCCAGUUUGAUACUGGGAUUCGGUACUGCAUGUACAGGAUAGGUGGGAGACGAAGAAGGAUGGACGCCAGUCUGUCCGGAGUCGCUGUUGGGAUACCACCCCUGUAGUACUGGGUUUCUAACCAGUUGCCAUGAACUGGCAAUGGGACAAUGUCAGGCGGGGAGUUUGACUGGGGCGGUCGCCUCCGAAAGAGUAUCGGAGGCGCUCAAAGGUUCCCUCAGAAUGGUUGGAAACCAUUUGAAGAGUGCAAAGGCAGAAGGGAGCUUGACUGCGACACCGACGGGUGGAGCAGGUACGAAAGUAGGACUUAGUGAUCCGGUGGUAUAAAGUGGGAUUGCCAUCGCUCAACGGAUAAAAGCUACCCUGGGGAUAACAGGCUUAUCACUCCCAAGAGUUCACAUUGACGGAGUGGUUUGGCACCUCGAUGUCGGCUCAUCGCAUCCUGGGGCUGUAGCAGGUCCCAAGGGUUGGGCUGUUCGCCCAUUAAAGCGGUACGCGAGCUGGUCUCAGAACGUCGUGAGACAGUUCGGUCCCUAUCCGGCGCGGGCGGAGGAUAUUUGAGAGGAGCUGUCCUUAGUACGAGAGGACCGGGAUGGACGGACCACUGGUGUAUCUGUUGUCGACCAACGGCAUGGCAGAGUAGCCAAGUCUGGAAGGGAUAAACGCUGAAGGCAUCUAAGCGUGAAGCCCCCCUCAAGAUGAGAUAUCCCUCCUUCGGGAGUAAGACCCCUUGAAGACUACAAGGUAGAUAGGGCAGAGGUGGAAGCAUGGCAACAUGUGGAGCUGACUGUCACUAAUAGGUCGAGGGCUU
rnacentral:rRNA from 1 species